rnacentral:rRNA from 1 species
ACUGCUCAGUAACACGUAGUCAACAUGCCCAGGGGACGUGGAUAACCUCGGGAAACUGAGGAUAAACCGCGAUAGGCCAAGAUUCUGGAAUGAAUCAUGGUUUAAAUCUAUAUGGCCCCUGGAUUGGACUGCGGCCGAUCAGGCUGUUGGUGAGGUAAUGGCCCACCAAACCUGUAACCGGUACGGGCUCUGAGAGGAGGAGCCCGGAGAUGGGCACUUAGACAAGGGCCCAGGCCCUAUGGGGCGCAGCAGGCGCGAAACCUCUGCAAUAAGCGAAAGCUUGACAGGGUUACUCUGAGUGAUUUCCGCUAAGGAAGUCUUUUGGCACCUCUAAAAAUGGUGCAGAAUAAGGGGUGGGCAAGUCUGGUGUCAGCCGCCGCGGUAAUACCAGCACCCCGAGUGGUCGGGACGAUUAUUGGGCCUAAAGCAUCCGUAGCCGGUCCUGCAAGUCCUCCGUUAAAUCCACCCGCUCAACGGUUGGGCCGCGGGGGAUACUACAGGGCUAGGAGGCGGGAGAGGCAAGCGGUACUCGAUGGGUAGGGGUAAAAUCCACUGAUCCAUUGAAGACCACCAGUGGCGAAGGCGGCUUGCCAGAACGCGCUCGACGGUGAGGGAUGAAAGCUGGGGGAGCAAACCGGAUUAGAUACCCGGGUAGUCCCAGCUGUAAACGAUGCAGACUCGGUGAUGGGCUGGCUUCGUGCCAACCCGGUGCCGCAGGGAAGCCGUUAAGUCUGCCGCCUGGGGAGUACGGUCGCAAGACUGAAACUUAAAGGAAUUGGCGGGGGAGCA